CCCCCCUUAAAAGGUAAUAAAACUUACCUUAUUUCCAGCGUAACGCUGGUCCCGCCCCUGAUUCUCUUCUUGCUGACAUCAUCAAAAAUUAUGAUUGGGGUUUGUCAUAAAAGGCCAGUGAGGCAUGGUCUGGUGAUUAUAGGGAAGCUGCUAUACAGCGAUACUACUAGCUCUUAUAAGAGCUUCACAGGUAUACUCUCUUGGAG